ensembl:rRNA 5S_rRNA 5S ribosomal RNA
GUCAACAGCCAUAGCACCCUGAACAAGCUUGAUCUCAUCUGAUCUCAGAAACUAAGCAAGACUGGGCCUUGUUAGUACUUGGAUAGGAGACUGCCUGGGAAUACCAGGUGCUGUAGCAG